GGGCUUAUCCAACAAAUGGCUCCAUGGAUACUUAUUAGAAGUUGAGUCCUCAUUCCCUGAGCCCUCCUUUAUCUCAUGCAGCCUGUGUGAAUGUUCACCAAGAAUGUCAGUGUUUCCUCUAUCACGAUCAGAGAUUCUCAAGCUCUGAGAUGGCCCAUAAUCUCUAUCUCCACCAACAUAAUUCAUGGGUCGGGCAUUCUGCAACUCUCCAAAGUCUCCACCACCAUCAAUUCCCAUCCUUCUCGACCUCUCAAGCUCGUGAAAGUACUCACCCCGCUGUUCACUAAUCAUCUGGCCACUAGGUGAAAGGUGACGCUCCCUACUCCGUCCACGUGGUGAGCGCUGCUCCCAGUUCCUAGUCCUUACUGGUGGCGAUAUCUCCCUGUUCCUAUUCCUUCCUGGUGAGUGCUGCUCCCAGUUCCUAGUCCUUGCUGGUGGCGAAAUCUCC
rnacentral:misc_RNA from 1 species